GGUGGUGCAUGGUUGUCGUCAGCUCGUGUCGUGAGAUGUUGGGUUAAGUCCCGCAACGAGCGCAACCCUUAUUAUCAGUUGCCAGCAUUCAGUUGGGCACUCUGGUGAGACUGCCGGUGACAAACCGGAGGAAGGUGGGGAUGACGUCAAAUCAUCAUGCCCCUUAUGACCUGGGCUACACACGUGCUACAAUGGACGGUACAACGAGUCGCGAAGUCGUGAGGCUAAGCUAAUCUCUUAAAGCCGUUCUCAGUUCGGAUUGUAGGCUGCAACUCGCCUACAUGAAGUUGGAAUCGCUAGUAAUCGCGGAUCAGCAUGCCGCGGUGAAUACGUUCCCGGGUCUUGUACACAC
rnacentral:rRNA from 1 species